UCUGCUCUGGGCUACACAAACCAAGAGACCUCAGCUGCUCCUCACACGCCUUCCCCUCCAGACCAUCUCUGUAGCCCUCGUUUGGAUGAUUUCUAGUAGUUUUAUAUCCUUCUUAUAUUGUGGCACCCAAAACUGCACACAGCACUCGAGGUGAGGCCAUAUAGCACAGAGUAGAGUGGGACAAUCACUCAAUCACUUCCCUCAACCAGCUAGCAAUUCUGUGAUCCUAUGAUACCAUGAACUGUAGUUAAAAAAAAAAAAAAAGAGAGAAAGGACAACAGAAAGAAAGAGGGUACACACACACACAAAAUAAUGUUUUAGAGGCUUACUCAAAGUUAAAAUGUAAUUCUAUCACCUUCUGAUUAAUUUUCACCUUUUCCAAGUCAUCUGGUCUUAAUCUGCUACUGGAUGUGAAACUCUUACUUCACUCUGGAGCCCUCUACCCUUCCAACAUGACAGCCACUGAAAGACAACUGCUUCCUUUAUUUUCCUGAAAAGAAGUUUACCAGGAGAGAAAAAUAAGCAUUUUAUCAAGAGAGAAAAACAAACAUUUGCACAUGCACAGACACUUUCACAGGCAGAGAUGACCAGAAUUUUUUCUUUUAGUUGAUUCCAUACCAGAAGCCAAACUACGACUGUCUAAUAUGCACAUGGAGCAUGGAGGCAAAAUUGGUUCUGACAAUUCUGUUACAACACCUGACUGUUACGGGCAGAACCACCCUGCAAGAGAACAGGAACAAUCAGUACUAUGAACCAUCAGGACUACAUGAGCCUACUGACAGCUUAAGUUGGGAAUUCAGAAAUGUUCUGCAGAUCCUAUCAAGAACUUUAACAUGCUACCACCUUUUUUUCUUUUCACCCUGGAUAGAAAUAGAUUGACAAUUUCCUGUUGAAUGGAAGUGACACUUGCUCAGGC
rnacentral:lncRNA from 1 species